rnacentral:lncRNA from 1 species
AUGGUGGAGUCCAUGGAGGUUGACCUUACCCCUUCUCCAGUGAGAAGACCUCAGCCCGAGGUGGCAGCCGGCCCCACGCGGAUGUCUCUGAUUAGCCCACCUCAAGAUGGGCGCAUGGGAUCCCACCGUUGCAGAUCCCCCACAAGGGACCCACACAGACCCCAGCAGCCCAGGCAGCGGGCAGAGCAACGAGAGGAGGCUCCCCUGGCCUCGGUGGCUCCCAGGCGGCAGCGCCCAGGCCGCCCAUCAGCAUCUCCGGCCUGCUGCAUAGGCCGUGCCCAGGGUCUGCUCACCACAGGGGAGUCACACAGAGAAGAUGAGCCCCAGCAGGUGUACCCUGGAUGGUUUCUUCCUCCAGGUGCCACUAAGUCAUGUGACCGCAUAGUUACUUCUCGGGUUACCUGGGGCAGCACAAACGUGAUAUGCUUGAAACUGCUCUUCUUACUGCCUUACAAUGAGUGCCCACACGUGGCCGGCGCUGUGGCCUGCAGCACCUGCAUCCCAGUGGGCGCCGGUUCGAGUCCCGGCUGCUCCUCUUCCAAUCCAGCUCUCUGCUGUGGCCUGGGAAAGCGGUAG